GCCUCUGUGGUGUAGUUGGUUAUCACGUGAGUCUCAUAUUGAUCUCCUUUUUAAAAAGGAAAUGUUAUAAAAUAUGAUAGGUAGCAAACAAAACUGCUUAAGCAAUCUCAAGGUCGCCAGUUCGAUCCUGGCCGGGGGCA